rnacentral:lncRNA from 1 species
ACAAUGAGUGAGGCGGACCCGCCCGGCGCGCCACCCUCGCCCCAGGAUCCGCGCGGCCGGCGACGCUCCCUAUGGGCUCUNNNNNNNAGGAAGCGCGGCCUGGCGGGCGCUCGGGCUCGGCCAGAGCGCAUGGCCGGCCGACACUCAGGAUAGCCAACACCCUCUUCUGAUCUCCAAGACUACCAGAUCCACGUGUGGGCACAGACCUUCGUGAACAGAUGUGUACUGUUGACACACCUUGCCAAUGGCUGUGAGGCCUCAGACCCAUGGUACAAUUUGGCAAAGCUUACCCAUAUGGGCCAGGCUCAAGAGGAAUGGCAGAAUUUUCGUUACUGAUCAGUAUGUGAAAAGACAACUGACUUUGACUUCCUCCUCCUGGAGGAGAUGUACAGACUCCUACUGAAAUUAGCUAGCCCCUCCUACUGUGUUGUACCUAGGAAUAAACAUGCUGAGUUCUAGAUUGCAAAGGUAGCAGAACUCCACCUGGCC